GACGAACGCUGGCGGCGUGCUUAACACAUGCAAGUCGAACGGAAAGGCCCUGCUUGCAGGGUACUCGAGUGGCGAACGGGUGAGUAACACGUGGGUGAUCUGCCCUGCACUUCGGGAUAAGCUUGGGAAACGGGGUCUAAUACCGGAUAGGAGCCAUCUUUAGUGUGGUGGUUGGAAAGUUUUUUCGGUGUAGGAUGAGCUCGCGGCCUAUCAGCUUGUUGGUGGGGUAAUGGCCUACCAAGGCGGCGACGGGUAGCCGGCCUGAGAGGGUGUACGGCCACAGUGGGACUGAGAUACGGCCCAGACUCCUACGGGAGGCAGCAGUGGGGAAUAUUGCACAAUGGGCGCAAGCCUGAUGCAGCGACGCCGCGUGGGGGAUGAAGGCCUUCGGGUUGUAAACUCCUUUCGCUAGGGACGAAGCUUUUUGUGACGGUACCUAGAUAAGAAGCACCGGCUAACUACGUG
rnacentral:rRNA from 1 species